rnacentral:rRNA from 1 species
GAGUAAUAUAUCGGAACGUGCCCAGUCGUGGGGGAUAACGCAGCGAAAGCUGUGCUAAUACCGCAUACGAUCUAUGGAUGAAAGCGGGGGACUCGCAAGAGCCUCGCGCGAUUGGAGCGGCCGAUAUCAGAUUAGCUAGUUGGUGAGGUAAAGGCUCACCAAGGCGACGAUCUGUAGCUGGUCUGAGAGGACGACCAGCCACACUGGAACUGAGACACGGUCCAGACUCCUACGGGAGGCAGCAGUGGGGAAUUUUGGACAAUGGGCGCAAGCCUGAUCCAGCAAUGCCGCGUGCAGGAUGAAGGCCUUCGGGUUGUAAACUGCUUUUGUACGGAACGAAACGGUCUCUUCUAAUAAAGGAGGCUAAUGACGGUACCGUAAGAAUAAGCACCGGCUAACUACGUGCCAGCAGCCGCGGUAAUACGUAGGGUGCGAGCGUUAAUCGGAAUUACUGGGCGUAAAGCGUGCGCAGGCGGUUAUAUAAGACAGAUGUGAAAUCCCCGGGCUCAACCUGGGACCUGCAUUUGUGACUGUAUAGCUAGAGUACGGUAGAGGGGGAUGGAAUUCCGCGUGUAGCAGUGAAAUGCGUAGAUAUGCGGAGGAACACCGAUGGCGAAGGCAAU